UCUACAAGACUUUGAAAUAAAAAGAAACAAAAAAAAGAAAAGGGAAAACUUCCCCACUGUUUUUGGCCCGAAGGCCCUCUCUUCCCUCCCCCAUUCUUCUCCCUCGCCCCGGCCCAAUUCCUCCGCCCCAGCCCAACGCGCUGCGCGGCCCAGCAGUCAGGCUACCAGGCGCGAUUUUCCUUCCCCUCUUCUUGACCUGCUGACAGUCGGGUCC
rnacentral:lncRNA from 1 species